rnacentral:tRNA from 1 species
GAAGGUAUAGCCCAGUGGUAGAGCACAUGCUUAGCAUGCACGAGGUCCUGGGUUUGAUCCCCAGUACCUCCA